GGUUUGGUGUUAUUCACCGAUUUCACAUCACAAAUGGAUCUGGCUAAUCAUUUACAAGCAGAAUAUAGCAUGUUGAUUGUUCUUGGCGUUUCAAGGGCUCAAUUGAGAAAGGCUUGUAGCUCUCAAACGUCUCAAUGAGCUUGUAGCUCUCAAACGUCUCAAUGAAUCCUGCUAUUUUUGUUGAGUCAGAAUUCAUGUUGAAGCUGAUGUUACCCAAAGACCAAAGACUACUGGAGAUUCUAAAGACUAAUUUCAGCUUUGCAAGAUAUUGUCAAGGGGGAGUUUGUUGGUGCAUGUUAUGUGACAACAGCUUAUGAUUUGGUCUUUGGAUAUCUUAAACAAGACUUGGAUAUGAAGACUUCAAGGGAUUCCGAGUUUCUCAAUUAUUAAUGUAAUUCCGAGUUUGUGUCUUUGUUAAUUCCGUAUUUGUGUUUUAUGUAAUA